CCUACGGGAGGCAGCAGUAGGGAAUAUUGCUCAAUGGGGGAAACCCUGAAGCAGCAACGCCGCGUGGAGGAUGAAGGCUUUCGGAUUGUAAACUCCUUUUGUUAGAGAAGAUAAUGACGGUAUCUAACGAAUAAGCACCGGCUAACUCCGUGCCAGCAGCCGCGGUAAUACGGAGGGUGCAAGCGUUAUGCGGAAUCACUGGGCGUAAAGGGCGCGUAGGCGGGAUAGCAAGUCAGAUGUGAAAUCCUUGGGCUUAACCAUAGAACUGCAUUUGAAACUGUUAUUCUUGAGUGUGGGAGAGGUAGGUGGAAUGCGUGGUGUAGGGGUGAAAUGCGUAGAGAUCAAGAGGAAUACUCAUUGCGAAGGCGGCCUACUGGACCGUAACUGACGCUGAUGCGCGAAAGCGUGGGGAGCAAACAGGAUUAGAUACCCCAGUAGUC
rnacentral:rRNA from 1 species